rnacentral:rRNA from 1 species
UACGUAGGGGGCAAGCGUUGUCCGGAAUCAUUGGGCGUAAAGAGCGUGUAGGCGGCCAGAUAAGUCCGCUGUGAAAUCUCGAGGCUCAACUUCGAGCUGUCGGUGGAAACUGUCUGGCUAGAGUCCGGAAGAGGAGAAUGGAAUUCCUGGUGUAGCGGUGAAAUGCGCAGAUAUCAGGAGGAACACCGGUGGCGAAGGCGGGUCUCUGGGCCUGUCCUGACGCUCAGGCGCGAAAGCUAGGGGAGCAAACAGG